UUUAGAGUUUGAUCCUGGCUCAGGACGAACGCUGGCGGCGUGCCUAACACAUGCAAGUCAGGGAGAAAGGGGUAGCAAUAUCCUGAGUAAACCGGCGCACGGGUGGGUAACACGUAGGUAACCUACCUUCUGAAUGGGGACAACCCCGCGAAAGCGGGACUAAUACCCAAUAAUACAGCGGCCCCUCAUGGGGAUGUUGUUAAAGGUUGCAAUUCUUCUGUGUAACAGCUGAGGAGUUGCGACGUCGGGAGAUGAGCCUGCGUCCCAUUAGGUAGUUGGCGGGGUAACGGCCCACCAAGCCAACGAUGGGUAGCUGGUCUGAGAGGACGACCAGCCACACUGGAACUGAGACACGGUCCAGACUCCUACGGGAGGCAGCAGUGAGGAAUAUUGCGCAAUGCCCGAAAGGGUGACGCAGCGACGCCGCGUGGAGGAUGAAGGCCCUAUGGGUCGUAAACUCCUAAUGGAGAGGAAGAAUGUUCCGCCUUCGGCGGAGAAGACGGACUCUUUAAGAAAGACCGCCA
rnacentral:rRNA from 1 species